UACGUAGGGUGCAAGCGUUAAUCGGAAUUACUGGGCGUAAAGCGUGCGCAGGCGGUUGUGCAAGACAGAUGUGAAAUCCCCGGGCUUAACUUGGGAAUUGCAUUUGUGACUGCACGGCUAGAGUGUGUCAGAGGGGGGUAGAAUUCCACGUGUAGCAGUGAAAUGCGUAGAUAUGUGGAGGAAUACCGAUGGCGAAGGCAGCCCCCUGGGAUAACACUGACGCUCAUGCACGAAAGCGUGGGGAGCAAACAGG
rnacentral:rRNA from 1 species